UACAGAGGUCCCAAGCGUUGUUCGGAUUCACUGGGCGUAAAGGGCGCGUAGGCGGUUUGUUAAGUUGGAUGUGAAAACUGUGGGCUCAACCUGCAGCCUGCAUCCAAUACUGACAGGCUAGAGUUCUGGAGGGGAUAGCGGAAUUCCUGGUGUAGCGGUGAAAUGCGUAGAUAUCAGGAGGAACACCGGUGGCGAAGGCGGCUAUCUGGACAGAGUCUGACGCUGAGGCGCGAGAGCUAGGGGAGCAAACAGG
rnacentral:rRNA from 1 species